rnacentral:lncRNA from 1 species
ACUCAGACUGAGGUUGAGUCCGAAUCAGUGCACUUGUGGAGUGCUGUCCGGUAAACUGCUGAGGUUUAUUGUGAACGAAAGAGGAAUCGAGGUCGAUCCUGCUAAAAAAAAAAACAAAAAAAAACAAAAAAAAAAGAAAAGAAAAGGGAAAAGCAAUGCAAGAAACACCUGAACCGAAAACAAAAAAAGAGCAAACGGUCAGGUGAAUAUUGCCAAAAGGGCAUUGGAAAAAG